ACGGGUGCGUAACGCGUAUCGAACCUGCCCUUUACUCAGGGAUAGCCUUGCGAAAGUAAGAUUAAUACCUGAUGGUGUUGCGAUGAGGCAUCUUGUUGCAACUAAAGAUUUAUUGGUAAAGGAUGGCGAUGCGUCUGAUUAGGUAGUAGGCGGGGUAAUGGCCCACCUAGCCUUCGAUCAGUAGGGGUUCUGAGAGGAAGGUCCCCCACAUUGGAACUGAGACACGGUCCAAACUCCUACGGGAGGCAGCAGUGAGGAAUAUUGGUCAAUGGACGAGAGUCUGAACCAGCCAAGUAGCGUGCAGGACGACGGCCCUCUGGGUUGUAAACUGCUUUUAGUUGGGAACAAAAAAGGCGACGUGUCGCCUCUGGAGUGUACCAUCAGAAAAAGGACCGGCUAAUUCCGUGCCAGCAGCCGCGGUAAUACGGAAGGUCCAGGCGUUAUCCGGAUUUAUUGGGUUUAAAGGGAGCGUAGGCGGACGAUUAAGUCAGCUGUGAAAGUUUGCGGCUCAACCGUAAAAUUGCAGUUGAAACUGGUUGUCUUGAGUGCACGCAGGGAUGUUGGAAUUCAUGGUGUAGCGGUGAAAUGCUUAGAUAUCAUGAAGAACUCCGAUCGCGAAGGCAUAUGUCUGGAGUGCAACUGACGCUGAGGCUCGAAAGUGCGGGUAUCGAACAGGAUUAGAUACCCUGGUAGUCCGCACAGUAAAC
rnacentral:rRNA from 1 species